AUUGAACGCUGGCGGCAGGCCUAACACAUGCAAGUCGAACGAGCGGCGGACGGGUGAGUAAUGUAUGGGGACUUCCCGAUAGAGGGGGAUAACUACUGGAAACGGUGGAUAAUACCGCAUACUAUCGGAUAACCCAUAUGGGAUUAGCUAGUAGGUGGGGUAAAGGCUCACCUAGGCGACGUUCUCUCGCUGGUCUGAGAGGAUGAUCAGCCACACUGGAACUGAGAAACGGCCCAGACUCCUACGGAGGCAGCAGUGGGGAAUAUUGUACUAGGGGCGCAAGCCUGAUGCAGCCAUGCCGCGUGUAUGAAGAAGGCAUUAGGUGUGUAAAGUACUUGCAGCGAGGAGGCGUUACCCGCAGAAUAAGCACCGGCUAAUUCCGUGCCAGCAGCCGCGAUAAUAG
rnacentral:rRNA from 1 species